CUUGCAAAAACCAGUAAAUGUCACUUCAUCUCCAUCUUCCAGGAAUUUACGAGUAAACCCAUCUAGUGAAAGCGGCUUUUGUCCAUUCCAUGUUAACUCCAGCAAGCAUCCAAGAGAUUCUGGCUCCUGUUGUGAAAUAUAAGAGUUAGCCAAAGUUCAAGGAAGCGGUAUAGGUACUUUCAAACUCUAAUGAAUGAUCCUAAUUCAUGCAGUAAAUGAAACCAUACAGGUCCACUGAUGGUGCCAGUUCCAAGCAGAUCUCCAGACCUUAGGUUGCAACCAUUGAUUGUAUGGUGUGCAAGCUGCUGAGUCAAUGUCCAAUACCUGUCAUUGGGGUUAGGAAAAAAACUAAUGCAUAUUGCACACAAAAAAAGGACCUACGCAACUUUAGAAGUUUCCUUUAGCUGACCCCAAUCAGUACAUGAUGAAUUCACUAUCAGAGGAACGAAAGAUGCAUCCAAGGAAAGUAAAUUUCUAUAAAAAGGAGAUGUCACAUUACUCUAGGAUAGAUGGAAUAUGAUAUAUCAGCUUUAGGCAAAGGAAGACCGAAUUUAUUGGGCCAACAGGCUUAUUGAUGUCAUAAAGGCAAGAGAAAUCGUGUUUAAAGUUUCUUUGAAAUGUUGCAAGCAUGUCAAAUUAAAGCUUACAAGUACUUAAAAUUGCUCCUUGUGACCAC
rnacentral:lncRNA from 1 species